UAGGGAAUCUUCGGCAAUGGACGAAAGUCUGACCGAGCAACGCCGCGUGAGUGAAGAAGGUUUUCGGAUCGUAAAACUCUGUUGUUAGAGAAGAACAAGGACGUUAGUAACUGAACGUCCCCUGACGGUAUCUAACCAGAAAGCCACGGCUAACUACGUGCCAGCAGCCGCGGUAAUACGUAGGUGGCAAGCGUUGUCCGGAUUUAUUGGGCGUAAAUCGAGCGCAGGCGGUUUCUUAAGUCUGAUGUGAAAGCCCCCGGCGCAACCGGGGGGGGUCAUUGGAAACUGGGAGACUUGGGUGCAGAAGAGGAGAGUGGAAUUCCAUGUGUAGCGGUGAAAUGCGUAGAUAUAUGGAGGAACACCAGUGGCGAAGGCGGCUCUCUGGUCUGUAACUGACGCUGAGGCUCGAAAGCGUGGGGAGCAAACAGG
rnacentral:rRNA from 1 species